GUCUAAAGCUCUAAAUAGCGUAUCUUAAUCAGCGUAACAAAUUUCUAAUAUUUGCAUAAAGAACUGUAAAAGUACGGCAAAAACCUUGAUCGCCACUUCUACUGCUCUUCAUAAGCAAAACAACAAAAUCAUCAACGUACAAGGUUUUCAUUGUGCGUACAGAUUGUGG